ACCCGAAGGCGGUGCGCCAACCAGCAAUGGAGGCAGCCGACCACGGUGGGUUCAGUGACUGGGGUGAAGUCGUAACAAGGUAGCCGUAGGUGAACCUGCAGAAGGAUCA
rnacentral:rRNA from 1 species